rnacentral:rRNA from 1 species
UACGUAGGGGGCAAGCGUUAUCCGGAUUUACUGGGUGUAAAGGGAGCGUAGACGGCAGUGCAAGUCCGGAGCGAAAGCCCGGGGCUCAACCCUGGGACUGCUCUGGAAACUGUAAAGCUGGAGUGCGGGAGGGGCAGGCGGAAUUCCUGGUGUAGCGGUGAAAUGCGUAGAUAUCAGGAGGAACACCGGCGGCGAAGGCGGCCUGCUGGACCGUAACUGACGUUGAGGCUCGAAAGCGUGGGGAGCAAACAGG